GAGUUUGAUCCUGGCUCAGGACGAACGCUGGCGGCGCGCCUAACACAUGCAAGUCGAACGAGAGAGAGGGAGCUUGCUUCCUCAAUCGAGUGGCGAACGGGUGAGUAACGCGUGAGGAACCUGCCUCAAAGAGGGGGACAACAGUUGGAAACGACUGCUAAUACCGCAUAAGCCCACAGGUCGGCAUCGACCAGAGGGAAAAGGAGCAAUCCGCUUUGAGAUGGCCUCGCGUCCGAUUAGCUGGUUGGUGAGGUAAUGGCCCACCAAGGCGACGAUCGGUAGCCGGACUGAGAGGUUGAACGGCCACAUUGGGACUGAGACACGGCCCAGACUCCUACGGGAGGCAGCAGUGGGGAAUAUUGCACAAUGGGGGAAACCCUGAUGCAGCGACGCCGCGUGGAGGAAGAAGGUCUUCGGAUUGUAAACUCCUGUUGUUGAGGAAGAUAAUGACGGUACUCAACAAGGAAGUGACGGCUAACUACGUGCCAGCAGCCGCGGUAAAACGUAGGUCACAAGCGUUGUCCGGAAUUACUGGGUGUAAAGGGAGCGCAGGCGGGAAGACAAGUUGGAAGUGAAAUCUAUGGGCUCAACCCAUAAACUGCUUUCAAAACUGUUUUUCUUGAGUAGUGCAGAGGUAGGCGGAAUUCCCGGUGUAGCGGUGGAAUGCGUAGAUAUCGGGAGGAACACCAGUGGCGAAGGCGGGCUACUGGGCACCAACUGACGCUGAGGCUCGAAAGUGUGGGUAGCAACAGGAUUAGAUACCUGGUAGUCACACCGUAAACGAUGAUUACUAGGUGUUGGGAGGAUUGACCCCUUCAGUGCCGCAGUUAACACAAUAAGUAAUCCACCUGGGGAGUACGACCGCAAGGUUGAAACUCAAAGGAAUUGACGGGGGCCCGCACAAGCAGUGGAGUAUGUGGUUUAAUUCGACGCAACGCGAAGAACCUUACCAAGUCUUGACAUCCUGCGACGCACAUAGAAAUAUGUCUUUCCUUCGGGACGCAGAGACAGGUGGUGCAUGGUUGUCGUCAGCUCGUGUCGUGAGAUGUUGGGUUAAGUCCCGCAACGAGCGCAACCCUUACUGUCAGUUACUACGCAAGAGGACUCUGGCAGGACUGCCGUUGACAAAACGGAGGAAGGUGGGGAUGACGUCAAAUCAUCAUGCCCUUUAUGACUUGGGCUACACACGUACUACAAUGGCGUUAAACAAAGAGAAGCAAGACCGCGAGGUGGAGCAAAACUCAGAAACCACCUCCCAGUUCGGACUGCAGGCUGCAACUCGCCUGCACGAAGUCGGAAUUGCUAGUAAUCGUGGAUCAGCAUGCCACGGUGAAUACGUUCCCGGGCCUUGUACACAC
rnacentral:rRNA from 1 species